AGCGAACGCUGGCGGCAGGCCUAACACAUGCAAGUCGAACGAACCUUUCGGGGUUAGUGGCGGACGGGUGAGUAACACGUGGGAACGUGCCUUUAGGUUCGGAAUAACUCAGGGAAACUUGUGCUAAUACCGAAUGUGCCCUUCGGGGGAAAGAUUUAUCGCCUUUAGAGCGGCCCGCGUCUGAUUAGCUAGUUGGGUGAGGUAAUGGCUCAACAAGGCGACGAUCAGUAGCUGGUCUGAGAGGAUGAUCAGCCACAUUGGGACUGAGACACGGCCCAAACUCCUACGGGAGGCAGCAGUGGGGAAUCUUGCGCAAUGGGCGAAAGCCUGACGCAGCCAUGCCGCGUGAAUGAUGAAGGUCUUAGGAUUGUAAAAUUCUUUCACCGGGGACGAUAAUGACGGUACCCGGAGAAGAAGCCCCGGCUAACUUCGUGCCAGCCGCCGCCGUAA
rnacentral:rRNA from 1 species